rnacentral:piRNA from 1 species
UCCUUAAGCCAAGGACUAUGAUACGGUC